GACGAACGCUGGCGGCGUGCUUAACACAUGCAAGUCGAACGGAAAGGCCCUGCUUUUGUGGGGUGCUCGAGUGGCGAACGGGUGAGUAACAUGUGAGUAACCUGCCCUUGGCUUUGGGAUAACUUCAGGAAACUGGGGCUAAUACCUGAUAUGAGCUCCUGCUGCAUGGUGGGGGUUGGAAAGUUUCGGCGGUUGGGGAUGGACUCGCGGCUUAUCAGCUUGUUGGUGGGGUGGUGGCUUACCAAUGCUUUGACGGGUAGCCGGCAUGAGAGGGUGACCGGCCACAUUGGGAGUGAGAUACGGCCCAGACGCCUACGGGAGGAAUCAUUGGGGAAGAUGGCACAAGGGGCGGAAGACUGACGUAGUAACGCAGCGUGCGGGAUGACGGCCUUCGGGUUGUAAACCGCUGGCGCUUGUGACGAAGCGUGAGUGACGGUAAUGGGUAAAGAAGCACCGGCUAACUACGUG
rnacentral:rRNA from 1 species